UGGACAUAUUCUAAAGCUCUGAUGAAAUUCAAACCAAGAUUCAAUGAGAAAUUUCUUCACUUUGAGGAGAAUACUUGGGAGGCUCCUGAGAUACAGACUCCCAUCAGAGAUCAGCCACUGCUAGACCCUAAGGGAUGUGUUGAUCUAAUUUCUCCAGAGCAGACAACACCCAACAGAGCCCCUGGGGCCUGAUUAAAAAUCUAAGCUCCAACUUCUGGAACUCCUCACAUAGAACUCUGCAGAAGCUUUAUCCUCAGAAUUUAUUGAUUUGCUCUGUAUGAAUAAAACUCCAACUAACAGUACUUCCUAAUAUAUCCCACAUUAUACUGGCAAGAAGAGAAGCUGAGACUUAUUUCAAACAACUUCAUUUAUAGGCCGCUCCAACCGGCAACUCAGAGAGCAACACCAAAACAGGAAGGGGUUAACAACCCCCAGCAUUUGCUCUCUAGUAAAUAGUGGGAGAAGAAACAGAAAGAAAGACCGUUGGGUGUGGUCAGUGACCAUCCAUUCCGGUAAACCACUUAGACCACUUCAGUGGGGGUCUGUUUUUUGGAGGCUUUGAAAAGCAAUUCGACACUACUUGGAAAACCAAAUCAACAACAACAACAAAAAAAAAUAACCAAUAUACAUGGCCUUCACGGCUCUUGUACCACUCAAGUUUUCUCCACUCUAACAACAUCACUGGACUGGUUCCUACAGUAAUCCUGUGAAGAUAUAAGAUGCUACAGAAAAGAUUGUAUUUGGGGUUAUAGGAUAAAAAUAUAAUGUUUUCUCUAAGACAUUUUAGUA